rnacentral:rRNA from 1 species
CCUACGGGAGGCAGCAGUGAGGAAUAUUGGUCAAUGGACGAGAGUCUGAACCAGCCAAGUAGCGUGAAGGAUGACUGCCCUAUGGGUUGUAAACUUCUUUUAUAUGGGAAUAAACUGUUCCACGUGUGGGAUUUUGUAUGUACCAUAUGAAUAAGGAUCGGCUAACUCCGUGCCAGCAGCCGCGGUAAUACGGAGGAUCCGAGCGUUAUCCGGAUUUAUUGGGUUUAAAGGGAGCGUAGGUGGAUUGUUAAGUCAGUUGUGAAAGUUUGCGGCUCAACCGUAAAAUUGCAGUUGAAACUGGCAGUCUUGAGUACAGUAGAGGUGGGCAGAAUUCGUGGUGUAGCGGUGAAAUGCUUAGAGAUCACGAAGAACUCCGAUGGCGAAGGCAGUUCACUGGACUGCAACUGACACUGAGGCUCGAAAGUGUGGGUAUCAAACAGGAUUAGAUACCCUUGUAGUC